rnacentral:rRNA from 1 species
UACGUAGGGGGCAAGCGUUGUCCGGAAUCAUUGGGCGUAAAGAGCGUGUAGGCGGCCCCGAUAAGUCCGCUGUGAAAGUCCAGGGCUCCAACCCCUGGGAUGCCGGUCGAUACUGGUGGACUAGAGUCCGGAAGAGGCGAGUGGAAUUCCCGGGUGUAGCGGUGAAAUGCGCAGAUAUCGGGAGAACACCAAUGGCGAAGGCAGCUCGCUGGGACGGUACUGACGCUGAGACGCGAAAGCGUGGGGAGCAACAGG